rnacentral:rRNA from 1 species
AGGAUGAACGCUGGCGGUAUGCUUUACACAUGCAAGUCGAACGCAAGUUUUUAACUUGAGUGGCGGACGGGUGAGUAACACGUGAGAAUUCGCCUUUAGGCGGGGAAUAACUAUGGGAAACCAUAGCUAAUGCCCCAUAUGCUCGUAAGAGUGAAAGGAGAAAUCCACCCAAAGAGAAGCUCGCGGCUGAUUAGCUAGUUGGUGCGGGUAAUGGCUCACCAAGGCGAUGAUCGUUAGCUGGUCUGAGAGGAUGAUCAGCCACACUGGGAUUGAGAACGGCCCAAACUCCUACGGGGGGCAGCAGUGAGGAAUCUUCGUCAAUGGGCGCAAGCCUGAACGAGCGACGCCGCGUGGGGGACGACGCAUUUCGGUGUGUAAACCCCUUUUCCGAGGAAGAGAAGGGACGGUACGUCGGAGAAUAAGCAUCGGCUAACUACGCGCCAGCAGCCGC